UACGGGGGGGGGCAAGCGUUGUUCGGAAUUACUGGGCGUAAAGGGCUUGUAGGUGGCCAACUAAGUCAGACGUGAAAUCCCUCAGCUUAACUGGGGAACUGCGUCUGAUACUGGAUGGCUUGAGUUUGGGAGAGGGAUGCGGAAUUCCAGGUGUAGCGGUGAAAUGCGUAGAUAUCUGGAGGAACACCUAUUGCGAAGGCAGCUCGCUGGGACGUUACUGACGCUGAGACGCGAAAGCUAGGGGAGCAAACAGG
rnacentral:rRNA from 1 species